rnacentral:rRNA from 1 species
GACGAACGCUGGCGGCGUGCCUAACACAUGCAAGUCGAACGGCAGCAUGACCUAGCUUGCUAGGUUGAUGGCGAGUGGCGGACGGGUGAGUAACGCGUAGGAAUAUGCCUUGAAGAGGGGGAUAACUUGGGGAAACUCAAGCUAAUACCGCGUAAUAUCUGAGGAUGAAAGCUGGGGACCGUAAGGCCUGGCGCUUUAAGAAUAGCCUGCGUACGAUUAGCGAGUUGGUGGGGUAAGGGCCUACCAAGGCGACGAUCGUUAGCUGGUCUGAGAGGAUGAUCAGCCACACUGGGACUGAGACACGGACCAGACUCCUACGGGAGGCAGCAGUGGGGAAUAUUGGACAAUGGGGGCAACCCUGAUCCAGCAAUGCCGCGUGUGUGAAGAAGGCCUGAGGGUUGUAAAGCACUUUCAGUGGGGAGGAGGGUUGACAGGUUAAGAGCUAGUUGACUGGACGUUACCCACAGAAGAAGCACCGGCUAACUCCGUGCCAGCCGCCGCCGUAA